GUUUAGACCGGUUAGCUUUGGACUCCAACCCCAAUUAGUUAACAGUGAGGAAUUAUGGGGAUUGUAGGCAAGAACAUCUGGAGCUCACCAGGCUAUCGCUGAGCUAAGGAGAUGCCCACACAGUGCCUACUCAGAGGUAAGCAUCAUUGAGACCAGCGGAGCUUACUCAUAGGGCCUACGUGAUCCUCUGUGUCCCUUCCAACUCUACAACCCUAUGAUUCAAAACUGCUGCUAUUUACAUGUGUGUUGGACUGCAGCCUGCCAUAACAGCUAUCCGGGAAAUGGCUUUUCCAGGACAAUCAAGACAGCAUGCUUAAACUAAAACAGCCAGUGUCAUGCGUCCAACAAAUAACUGUGAAAGUGGCAAAUAAUAAUUUUAUUAUUUAUUAAAUAAUAAAUAAAAAUCAACAAAAGGGGAAACUCAGCUCAGUACACAUUUGAAGAUGGAUCUGCCAAAUUUUCACUUUCUUAAAUAACAUGCGAGCCAUAACACAACUAUCCUUCAAAAUUCGUACUUAUCCACAUUGUGCAUUGCAGUUCUCACAACAAUAUAUACAGACAUGCACAUAUUAUGGAAAAGUGUGCAUUUAAAGCUGUGUCCAUUUUUUAAAUGAUUACUUAAAUGCAAAUAGCUGCAAAAAUUGGAGAACUGAAUUUAAGAUUGGAAAAAAAAAUAAGGAACUGAGAGAAUCAAAAUGGACAGAGCCUCCCAUCCCUGUGCUGACAGUUUCAGGUGCCCAGAAAAUGUAUUUUGUCCACUAUGGGUAAUAGAUUUAAAAACACAGACAGACAGACAGACACAUUUUAUCCAGUAGAUCUGUUUGGCAGCAGUCAGCCAAAAUGGGGGCCUCAUCUUGGGCAAACGUUGAAGACCAGCAAGUGGUCCUGCAAAAGCACUGCUUUGGAGGCAUUGUGAAGUCUUGGGACCACAAAUGUGCAAAUAUAGCCAAAAGCAGGAGCAACUCACAGGUUUACCUAGGAAGUGAUUGAUGCAGAGGUUCCGCAAGGGUUUGGGCAUCCGGCAGAUGGUCGAGCAAAGGAGCUUCAUUGAAAGUGGCUGCUCAGACAGUUCGCUCGAUCCGUUCAAUUCGCUCUCGUACUUGACCCCGUUCAGCAAAAUGUUUGCUACCUGCACCGCAAAGAAGAUGCCCUGAUCGGCAUUCAAGAACGUACAAGCAACAUGGAACAGGAGCUGAGCAGGAAGAGCAAAACAUCUCUGGCAUAGCUCCGGAGUAAGAUAUUCCUCCUCGUCUGCUCAUCUUUUUUCCAGACUUGAUUUACAGUGAUGUUUCCCCAGUAAAAUGCACUUGUGCCCCCAGUG